UGAAAAUAGUAAUUGUUGAACCUAUCUAACUAACACAAUAACCAAAGAAACGAUACCACAUAUAAGCCCUCAAUGAUGUCAGACAAUAUAUUCAAUUUAAAAAUUAUUAUAAAUUUAUAUUAUUAUUUUACUUUCACAAACGAUCAUUCUUCAUUUUUAGUUUUAGGAAGAAUGCAUAAUCAUUGAACAUUUAAGCUAUUACGUAAAAUUUAUGUCGCGGUCCAAGUUCUCCCUCUGUGAACUGUCGUGACGGCACCUAGUCUCUACAGCUAUGUAAGCCUAACAAAUUGCAGAAAAUAGAUUAAAGAUGCAAAACUAGCCAACUAACAGGUAAAUAUAAUUAAAAGAGUUGAAGAUGCCGCUCGGUAUAUACAAUAGUGACACUCUCGACUGAAUAUAACACUCUCAAAAUCCGAAAUCUCAUGGAUCACAAGCUAAAGAAAAAUACAUAGUAUUCUAACUCCAGAAGUCUAAACGAAGGAAAAAUACAAGAAGUCUAUAUUGAAGGGAGAAUAGAGAGGGACUUCUAGGUCUGCGGACGCGGCAGAUAUACCUCGAAUUCUCUGGAUCGCCUCGCCUCACGGGUAGUAUGGCUGAGCAGAAGAACCUGGAUCCGCACACGAAAAAUAUGUGCAGGAACGGGCAUGAGUACACCACAGCGGUACCCAGUAAGUGAUAAGCCUAACCUCGAUCGAGUAAUGACGAGAAAGGUCAGGGCCCUACCGGUUAUAUAUAUAUAACAAGAAAAAAAAAUAGUAUGAACAGUGACAACAUAAUUAAAAUACUAAUAGUCAAUAAAGAUGAAAUCAUAGAAAGAAAUAACUCAGUAUACAGAGAUAGCAACAGGGGAUCUCCCAGGAUAACGUCCCGUAGUCCCAAAUGUAAAUGUGUAGAGGAUCUCCCGGGAUACCAUCCCGUAGUCCAAAUCGUAAAUGUGCAGGGGAUCUCCCGGAAUACCGAUCUGUAGUCCCAAAGUAAAUAUCCAGUAUAGGGGGAUCUCCCGGGAUACAGUGUCGUAGUCCCAAAUAUAAAUGUGCAGGGGGAUCUCCCGGAAUACCGAUCCGUAGUCCCAAAUAAACAUGCAGGGUGUCGCGGCCCCUUUUUCCCUCCUCGCGGAGAGAGGUCCGACAUGUGACAACUCUUUUAAAUGGGUAUUAAAAGAGAGAGUCGCCACCUAACGGGUUUGAGGUGUGUUAGAGAACCUAUUUUGCAGAUAACUCUAUUUGACUAGUCAACAUCACCAAAGAUCGGGUAAGGGCUCAAAUUAUCUCAAAGAGAAGGUGUUAGUCACUCUUCGAGGUCCACAACUGUGGGUUCCGGUCGAAUUUAUACUAUGUGAAACUAUUGAAUUAAACUAGGAUGUAGAUUGCUAAGUUGUAAAUUAAUCCUAAAUGGUCAAGUAUAUACACCAAUUUAAAAGCAAUUAAUUAAAACCAGUCAUGAAAAAAUGUAAGGAUUGUAAAUCGUAGAAAGCCUACUUAAUUACAUAAAAGGGGGCCCUAAAUUUUUAAGCCUGAUGGAUCAACUCCCAUGCAAAAGUCUACUAAGACUUUUAUAGCCAAAUGUACAAUAGCUAUCGGGCAAUUUGUGUAUCAUGUCCGCUACCCUCAUUACUAUCUUUAAGUUGUUAACUUAAGAGCACACUAUUUAAUUCUAAAUCGCGUCUUAAUUCAAAACUACCCUUCCUACAGUCCAGGAGGCUUUGGACACUAUUCUAAAGGGUCGGUUCUAGACAUAACGAAAAUCUCAAGUUUCUGUUUCUAUUCUCAUUAGCGUCACAUAAGAGGGAGCACAUUAGGACUUAAACAAAUGACAGAUAAGGCAAGUAAGGGCUCAUGUUGGCCUCCGAAUUUAUUAAGCAAUUAGUUAAGGUGGUGAAAAUAAAUAAAUCUUAAGAUAAACGAAGUUAUUUGAUGUAAUACUCAAUGAUUAGAUACAUUGAAGCAAAUAUAAUUGAGAAUAAGUAUGGUAAAAAGACGUAUUUAAAUAAUAAGCAUGGCAGAAUAUUUAUAAAGGUAAUUUAAAUCUUUUAAUGGCCAAUAUAUAACUAAGAACACAUUACUCAUCAAAAGUUUGUAAAGCCAAGUGGGAUAAACGUGCUGAUAGGAAAAAAUUAAGUAAAUGAUAUGAUUGAAUGGCAAAAAUACUUGCAAAAUUCAUCUUGAUUUUUCGGAACCAAGGCGCUUGUAAAGAAAUUUCAGAUUUAAAAUAUAGCAAAAUAGUGCUUAUAGGAAAGAAAUGAUUUCAGAGCUAGAAAUAUGUUUCAAUUCUUGCGAAUAGUUUAAAAUAGACUCAAGUACUUGCAAAAUAGUUUCAUCACUAGAAUAGAGCUCCAAAUGAACUAAAAUAAUACUUGUAAAUUUAGGCAGUAAACAUCAGAAAAUUAAAAAAGAUGCUUUAAACGGUCUAUGUUGCUAUUUAUGAUUAAAACUUGACCAAUUCUCUUAACAUAUAGAUAGCACAUAGGAAAUCUGAUUUUUUUUCCUAUUAAUUAGUCCAUAUAGACAUGUAUUUAACGAUUUUAAAAGAUAACAAGUAAAUAAUUUAAGCAUGCCAAAACAUGAGGACAAGUAAUGAACCAAACAAAUAGCAAUUAGCACAUAACCCCUCUUACUACAAAGUGUUCAUACGUAUGGAACAGUCAUAUUAUCCUCUCUUUUUUUAUGAAAGACAAAUUAAUCAAUAUACUAAAGCAUUCUUCUAUGUGUUAAUGCAUUCACAGUAGAAAUCAUGAAAACAUAUGGAUAUUGUUCAUGAUUCUUUGGGAAAAAGUUAAAGUAUGGAGUAUUAACAAAUCGGGUGGUAUCACUUUCAUUGAUGCAAUCUUUUAAUCCCAAAUAUGAUAACUAGAUGAUCCGAAAUUAAAUAAAUUUAGGCAUACAAUUUCCAGUGCGUGAAAAGUCACAUGUAAUUCAAAGAAUCACAACCCACAAAGAGUUUGAGGGAUGUACCUGGGCGCUUCCAAGAUGACUGUUUAUAGUACUCGAGCAGAGUAAACAUUUAAACAAACUACUCUAUGUACAACUACCACGCAUGAAACUAAGAAAAAAUAUUGAAAGCUACUAUUCUAUACUUAACUAAUACCACAACAGGGAGACUAAAAAUAGAAUGACAAGAAACUAACCUGUUGCAAAGUGCCAAAUUAAUAAGAAAACCUGAAAUCCAAAUAAAUAGCCCGCGAAAAGAGCUUCGACAGCAAAAAUAAACCAACGAUCCCAGCGAUGAACUUUGAAUAGCAGGAACAUGAAAGAAUCCAAAUAUCGAGAGGGAUGAAAAGAAAUAAACUUUGCCUCGCCUUACAGCCGGCAAAGCGAGAAUUAAAGAGCAACUGGUGUAAUGAAUCUUAGUAAAUAAUAUGUAUGAUAAUCGCAGGGAAUAGCUGUGAUCAAAAUGUAGUCCUCCCCGUACGUAUCCUACUGAUGUAUUUAUAAGACUAACUCAACACUAGAGUUCAAAUUAUAAAAGGGAAGUAGAGAAAUUAGGAUUCUGCAAAAUAUGGUCUUGAAUUAAAAGGCAAAGAGCCGUUAGAGUGAGUGCCGAUCAAAUAAAGAUUGUGUGCAGCUUUAAACUUAAAAAAAAUCACAUGAAAAGAUUCGGACUUUUUAUAACCAAGAUAGGUAAAAAAAAGAAGAAGCAAUCAUCUGUAAAGGAAAGAAAAAAUGGAAAAGUACCAAAGCUUUUAUCUUACUUUGUGAGAGAUCUUGAAUUUGGACAGAUUCUCCAAAAAGAUUCAUACCCCCAAAUGUUUUGCUAAAAAUCGUUCUUUAAAGGAAGAAAUACUUUCUGAUUUGAGUGAUUAGGGAAGAGAUUGUCAAUGACAAUUAUUAAAAAAAAUGAAAAGGAUAAUUAAGGCAAGAAAAAAUAAAAAUAAAAAAAGUAAAGAGAGAAAAGCUAAAUAAGGUAAAUGGAUCAAAUAAUUGAAGGAGGAGAAUAGGGGUGUUCGGUGAUGGGGUUGACGGGAAAUUGG
rnacentral:lncRNA from 1 species